UUUAAGUUUGGCUGGAUCAGAUAGUUAGGUCAGUAGAGCAUGAGACUCUUCAUCUCAAGUUUGUGGGUUUGAGCCCCACAUUGGGGAAAA